UACAGAGGUCUCAAGCGUUGUUCGGAUUCAUUGGGCGUAAAGGGCUCGUAGGUGGCCAACUAAGUCAGACGUGAAAUCCCUCGGCUUAACCGGGGAACUGCGUCUGAUACUGGAUGGCUUGAGUUUGGGAGAGGGAUGCGGAAUUCCAGGUGUAGCGGUGAAAUGCGUAGAUAUCUGGAGGAACACCGGUGGCGAAGGCGGCAUCCUGGACCAAUACUGACACUGAGGAGCGAAAGCCAGGGGAGCAAACGGG
rnacentral:rRNA from 1 species